rnacentral:rRNA from 1 species
UACGAAGGGGGCUAGCGUUGUUCGGAAUCACUGGGCGUAAAGCGCACGUAGGCGGACUUUUAAGUCAGAGGUGAAAUCCCAAGGCUCAACCUUGGAACUGCCUUUGAUACUGGGAGUCUUGAGGUCGAGAGAGGUGAGUGGAACUGCGAGUGUAGAGGUGAAAUUCGUAGAUAUUCGCAAGAACACCAGUGGCGAAGGCGGCUCACUGGCUCGAUUCUGACGCUGAGGUGCGAAAAGCGUGGGGAGCAAACAGG